rnacentral:rRNA from 1 species
CGCGGCCUAUCAGCUUGUUGGCGGGGUAAAAGCCCACCAAGGCUCUGACGGGUAGCCGGCUCGAGAGGGUGUACGGCCACAAUGGGACUGAGACACGGCCCACACUCCUACGGGAGGCAGCAGUUGGGAAUAGUUCGCAAUGGGGGAAACCCUGACGACGCGACGCCGCGUGCGGGAUGAAGCCCUUCGGGGUGUAAACCGCUUUUCUGCAGGAAAAAGAUCUGAUGGUACUGCAGGAAUAAGCAGUUGCUAACUCUGUGCCAGCAGCAGCGGUAAUACAGAGACUGCAAGCGUUUUCCGGAUUCAUUGGGCGUAAAGCGUCCGCAUACUGUUUUAUAAGUCGAGCUUGAAAUCCGGCGGCUCAACCGUCGACACGGGUUCGAUACUGUAAGACUAGAGAACUUGAGAGGCUGAUGGAAUUCCCGGUGUAGUAGUGAAAUGCGUUAAUAUCGGGAAGAACACCAAUUGCGAAGGCAGUCAGCUGGCAAGUUUCUGACGUUCAGGGACGAAAGCGUGGGUAGCGAACGGGAUUAGAUACCCCGGUAGUCCACGCCGUAAACGAUGGGUACUAGGCUUAGGAGCUUCGACAGCACCUGAGUCGCAAGCUAACGCGUUAAGUACCCCGCCUGGGGAGUACGG